rnacentral:rRNA from 1 species
GCGACUAAGCGUACACGGUGGAUGCCCUGGCAGUCAGAGGCGAUGAAGGACGUGCUAAUCUGCGAUAAGCGUCGGUAAGGUGAUAUGAACCGUUAUAACCGGCGAUUUCCGAAUGGGGAAACCCAGUGUGAUUCGUCACACUAUCAUUAACUGAAUCCAUAGGUUAAUGAGGCGAACCGGGGGAACUGAAACAUCUAAGUACCCCGAGGAAAAGAAAUCAACCGAGAUUCCCCCAGUAGCGGCGAGCGAACGGGGAGCAGCCCAGAGCCUGAAUCAGUGUGUGUGUUAGUGGAAGCGUCUGGAAAGGCGUGCGAUACAGGGUGACAGCCCCGUACACAAAAAUGCACAUACUGUGAGCUCGAUGAGUAGGGCGGGACACGUGGUAUCCUGUCUGAAUAUGGGGGGACCAUCCUCCAAGGCUAAAUACUCCUGACUGACCGAUAGUGAACCAGUACCGUGAGGGAAAGGCGAAAAGAACCCCGGCGAGGGGAGUGAAAAAGAACCUGAAACCGUGUACGUACAAGCAGUGGGAGCACGCUUAGGCGUGUGACUGCGUACCUUUUGUAUAAUGGGUCAGCGACUUAUAUUCUGUAGCAAGGUUAACCGAAUAGGGGAGCCGAAGGGAAACCGAGUCUUAACUGGGCGUUAAGUUGCAGGGUAUAGACCCGAAACCCGGUGAUCUAGCCAUGGGCAGGUUGAAGGUUGGGUAACACUAACUGGAGGACCGAACCGACUAAUGUUGAAAAAUUAGCGGAUGACUUGUGGCUGGGGGUGAAAGGCCAAUCAAACCGGGAGAUAGCUGGUUCUCCCCGAAAGCUAUUUAGGUAGCGCCUCGUGAAUUCAUCUCCGGGGGUAGAGCACUGUUUCGGCAAGGGGGUCAUCCCGACUUACCAACCCGAUGCAAACUGCGAAUACCGGAGAAUGUUAUCACGGGAGACACACGGCGGGUGCUAACGUCCGUCGUGAAGAGGGAAACAACCCAGACCGCCAGCUAAGGUCCCAAAGUCAUGGUUAAGUGGGAAACGAUGUGGGAAGGCCCAGACAGCCAGGAUGUUGGCUUAGAAGCAGCCAUCAUUUAAAGAAAGCGUAAUAGCUCACUGGUCGAGUCGGCCUGCGCGGAAGAUGUAACGGGGCUAAACCAUGCACCGAAGCUGCGGCAGCGACGCUUAUGCGUUGUUGGGUAGGGGAGCGUUCUGUAAGCCUGUGAAGGUGUGCUGUGAGGUAUGCUGGAGGUAUCAGAAGUGCGAAUGCUGACAUAAGUAACGAUAA